CUCUGUGACUCUGAAACCUGAUGCCAGGCAUGUACCUGCAGUCUCAUCUCCCUUCUCUCUAAUGCCAGGAAGACUCUAUGAGGAUUGAAUGUGUGAUGAUGCAGUCCAUCAAAAGUCUCUGGUAAAAGAUGUCACACAGUACGUGUUUAGCACACACACACACAACAAAUCAAAGCAGAGGCCGGAAACGUGCAGACAUUUCAGCAGAAAUGAGAAGCCAAUCGUGUGUUCCUCACCCUCGCCAUUCAAGCAAAGUUCCCAGCCAUUCUACUAAAAGAGAACAGAUUCACAAAAGUCCUCACAAGCUAAGACAAUGUCAUG
rnacentral:lncRNA from 1 species